rnacentral:rRNA from 1 species
AUGGAUCCACCGACCAGCCCCGACGACGAGGCGGCGGCCUUCUUCCGCGCCGCGCCGCCCUUCCGCGACCGCGACGCCGUCGCCGCCAGCCUCGCCGCCUUCGUCGCCCGCCACCGCGCACGCGCCGCCGCCGGCGGUGGUGGUGGAGGAGGAGGAGGGCCCCCGGCGGCGGCGGCGGGGGUGGUCUGCGUCACCUCCGGCGGCACCACGGUGCCCCUGGAGCAGCGCUGCGUGCGCUACAUCGACAACUUCAGCUCCGGCCAGCGCGGGGCCGCGUCCACCGAGUACUUCCUCAAGGCCGGCUACGCCGUCGUCUUCGUCCAUCGCCGCGGGAGCAAGCAGCCGUACUGCAGGUUUCUUCCGGAGGACUCGUUUCUUGACCUUUUCGAGCUCGGCGAAGGAUCCGAGAUCCAAGUCCCAGAGUCUCACACUACAGUGGUCAAGACCGCGAUUAGCAGUUAUCGCAAGGCAAUCGAUGAAGGUCUACUUCUGAAACUUCCUUUCACUACAAUUUUCGAGUACCUUCAGUUACUGCAGCUUGUAUCCACUGCUAUGAAUUGCUUGGAGCGCCAUGGAAUGUUUUAUUGUGCUGCUGCAGUGUCUGACUUCUAUGUUCCAUGGGAGAGUAUGGCUAAACAUAAAAUCCAGUCAGCAGGUGGCCCUUUGAACAUGCAGCUCAGUCAAGUUCCUAAGAUGCUUUUCAUCCUCAGAAACCAGUGGGCUCCUUCUGCGUUUUGUGUAUCCUUCAAGCUCGAGACGGAUCCAGACAUCCUUAUACAGAAGGCAGAGGCGGCUUUGAGAAAAUACGGUAUGAAUGUGGUGGUGGCGAACGAGCUAGCGAGCUACAAAGACGUGGUUGUCAUGGUCACAAGCAGCGGGAAGACGACCGUGAGCAGGCGGAGCAAGGAAGACGACCUAGAAGAGCAGCUCAUCGCUCUCCUGGUUAAGAUGCAUUCAGAUCACGCUAAGCAGUCCAAUCCGGAGCAAGAAACAUGA